rnacentral:rRNA from 1 species
CCUACGGGAGGCAGCAGUGGGGAAUAUUGGACAAUGGGAGCAACCCUGAUCCAGCCAUGCCGCGUGUGUGAAGAAGGCCCUCGGGUUGUAAAGCACUUUCAGUGAGGAAGAACGCCUGGUGGUUAAUACCCAUCAGGAAAGACAUCACUCACAGAAGAAGCGCCGGCUAACUCCGUGCCAGCAGCCGCGGUAAUACGGAGGGUGCGAGCGUUAAUCGGAAUUACUGGGCGUAAAGCGCGCGUAGGUGGCUUGAUAAGCCGGUUGUGAAAGCCCCGGGCUCAACCUGGGAACGGCAUCCGGAACUGUCAAGCUAGAGUGCAGGAGAGGAAGGUAGAAUUCCCGGUGUAGCGGUGAAAUGCGUAGAGAUCGGGAGGAAUACCAGUGGCGAAGGCGGCCUUCUGGACUGACACUGACACUGAGGUGCGAAAGCGUGGGUAGCAAACAGGAUUAGAUACCCCAGUAGUC